AUAUUGGACAAUGGGCGCAAGCCUGAUCCAGCCAUGCCGCGUGCAGGAUGACGGUCCUAUGGAUUGUAAACUGCUUUUAUACGGGAAGAAACCCCGCCACGUGUGGCGGAUUGACGGUACCGUAGGAAUAAGGAUCGGCUAACUCCGUGCCAGCAGCCGCGGUAAUACGGAGGAUCCAAGCGUUAUCCGGAAUCAUUGGGUUUAAAGGGUCCGUAGGCGGCCUUAUAAGUCAGUGGUGAAAUCUCCCGGCUCAACCGGGAAAUUGCCAUUGAUACUGUAGGGCUUGAAUUAUUGGGAAGUAACUAGAAUAUGUAGUGUAGCGGUGAAAUGCUUAGAGAUUACAUGGAAUACCGAUUGCGAAGGCAGGUUACUACCAAUACAUUGACGCUGAUGGACGAAAGCGUGGGUAGCGAACAGG
rnacentral:rRNA from 1 species